rnacentral:tRNA from 1 species
UCCCUGGUCGUAUAUCGGUUAGUACACGCGCCUGUCAUAAGCACUUAUGGUGAUUGGGUCGCGCGAGAGCUGGGUUCGACUCCCAGCCAGGGAG